rnacentral:rRNA from 1 species
AUAAUCUCGGGAGGACCACCUGUGGCGAAGGCGCCUAACGAGAACGGGUCCGACGGUGAGGAACGAAAGCUAGGGGAGCAAACCGGAUUAGAUACCCGAGUAGUCCUAGCCGUAAACGCUGUGUACUAGAUGUUGCAUAUUCUCCGUGAAUAUGCAGUGUCGGAGCGAAGGCAUUAAGUACACCGCCUGGGUAGUACGGUCGCAAGGCUGAAACUUAAAGGAAUUGGCGGGAGAGCACCACAAGGGGUGCGGCGUGCGGUUUAAUCUAACUCUACGCAGAGAAUCUCACCAGCAGCGACGGCAGAAUGAAGGUCAGAUUAAAUGUCUUACCUAACGAGCCGAGAGGUAUUGCAUGGCCGUCGUCAGCUCGUGCCGUAAGGUGUCCUCUUAAGUGAGGUAACGAGCGAGAUCCAUGCCCAUAAUUGCUAGCGGGUCCUUUAGGAUGACUGAGCACAUUAUGGGGACUGCUCUGGAAACAGAGAGGAAGGUGUGGGCAACGGUAGGUCUGUAUGGUCCGAAUCUGCUGGGCUACACGCGCGCAACAAUGGCGAGGACAAUGGGAUGCAACACCGAAAGGUGGAGCUAAACCUCGAAACCUCGUCCUAGUCUAGAUUGAGGGUUGUAAUUCACCCUCAUGACACCGGAAUCCCUAGUAAUCGGGCUUCAUCACGGCCCGGUGAAUAUGUCCCUGCUCUUUGCACACACCGCCCGUCAAACCAACCGAGUUGGGUCUGGGUGAGAUGCAGCUUUAAGUUGUAUCAAAUCCAGGUUCGGUGAGGUGGGUUAAGUCGUCACAAGGUAGCCGUAGGGGAACCUACGGCUGGAUCACCUCCUUU